AUGAGCAUUAUAAGUUGGAACUGCCGAGGGCUUGGGAACCCCGAGGCAGUUCGAGAGCUUCGCAGUGUGGUGAAGCAAUAAGGGCCCGCCCUCCUCUUUGUUAUGGAAACAAAGAUAACGGCAGCAAGGGUGGAGAAUCUGAAGUUUACUUUGGGUUUUGAUGGAUGUUUCGUGGUUAAUAGCAUCGGUCUCAGUGGAGGCAUCGGAUUGUUUUGGUCCAAAGAUGUUUCUGUUGAGCUCAAAAUUAUGGUGCCGGCCACAUUGAUGUUGUGGUGCGGAAUAAGGAUCAAAACUCCUUCGAGUGGAGAUUCACUGGUUUCUAUGGCGCACCAAGGGUAA
rnacentral:rRNA from 1 species